CGGGAGACACACGGCGGGUGCUAACGUCCGUCGUGAAGAGGGAAACAACCCAGACCGCCAGCUAAGGUCCCAAAGUCAUGGUUAAGUGGGAAACGAUGUGGGAAGGCCCAGACAGCCAGGAUGUUGGCUUAGAAGCAGCCAUCAUUUAAAGAAAGCGUAAUAGCUCACUGGUCGAGUCGGCCUGCGCGGAAGAUGUAACGGGGCUAAACCAUGCACCGAAGCUGCGGCAGCGAACGUAUCACUUAAAGCGAUUCAGCGGGUUACGAUUGACGGAGCGAAGCGACGUCAAAGCGUAUACAAAGUCGAGUCGGUUUAAGGAUACGUUCGUUGGGUAGGGGAGCGUUCUGUAAGCCCGUGAAGGUGGCCUGUGAGGGUUGCUGGAGGUAUCAGAAGUGCGAAUGCUGACAUAAGUAACGAUAAAGCGGGUGAAAAGCCCGCUCGCCGGAAGACCAAGGGUUCCUGUCCAACGUUAAUCGGGGCAGGGUGAGUCGACCCCUAAGGCGAGGCCGAAAGGCGUAGUCGAUGGGAAACGGGUUAAUAUUCCCGUACUUGGUGUUACUGCGAAGGGGGGACGGAGAAGGCUAUGUUGGCCGGGCGACGGUUGUCCCGGUUUAAGCGUGUAGGUGUGUGUUCCAGGUAAAUCCGGUUCACUUUAACACUGAGGCGUGACGACGAGGCACUACGGUGCUGAAGCAACAAAUGCCCUGCUUCCAGGAAAAGCCUCUAAGCAUCAGGUAACAUCAAAUCGUACCCCAAACCGACACAGGUGGUCAGGUAGAGAAUACCAAGGCGCUUGAGAGAACUCGGGUGAAGGAACUAGGCAAAAUGGUGCCGUAACUUCGGGAGAAGGCACGCUGACACGUAGGUGAAGUGAUUUACUCAUGGAGCUGAAGUCAGUCGAAGAUACCAGCUGGCUGCAACUGUUUAUUAAAAACACAGCACUGUGCAAACACGAAAGUGGACGUAUACGGUGUGACGCCUGCCCGGUGCCGGAAGGUUAAUUGAUGGGGUCAGCGUAAGCGAAGCUCCUGAUCGAAGCCCCGGUAAACGGCGGCCGUAACUAUAACGGUCCUAAGGUAGCGAAAUUCCUUGUCGGGUAAGUUCCGACCUGCACGAAUGGCGUAAUGAUGGCCAGGCUGUCUCCACCCGAGACUCAGUGAAAUUGAACUCGCUGUGAAGAUGCAGUGUACCCGCGGCAAGACGGAAAGACCCCGUGAACCUUUACUAUAGCUUGACACUGAACAUUGAGCCUUGAUGUGUAGGA
rnacentral:rRNA from 1 species